GAGGAUGAGAACCUCCGGGGGCGGGAGGUUCGACCCGAGCGAAGCGAGAGAACGUUGCGCGAGCAACGGCCCGCAGGGCAAGCCAUCCUC
rnacentral:sRNA from 1 species